rnacentral:lncRNA from 1 species
UGUUAAGGAUACAGAAGCCCAAGGGCAGCAGCUGAACCUUUAUGCCUUUUUUUUUUUUUUUUCCCCAAGGAAGUUUUCAAUGUGUUCGUCUGCUGGGUCCUCAGGGAAUAACGUGCUCCUGCAAUUUAUUACACUGUCUCUAGGCAGAGACUACCACUGCUAUAUCAGAGAAUUACUUAAGGAGUUACUUAGGUCCAGGUGGCUGCUUGAGAACUUAUAGCCAGAACUUACAUCACCUGCUUCUUUUACUUAAAUUUAGAUCCCUUCCUUUGGCUCACUUUUAUCAGAGCAUAAUUUAAACACUGGUCACUGGAGACAAAGAGAAACCUAAAAUAAGCUCCAGAAUACACGUGAGAAACUCUGCUGGGAGGAGGUAAGAAGCUAUGUUUUCUCCUGAAAACCAGUGUCCUCCAGAGUGACUCUUGUAGUUUCUGCUGUCCAGGUUUGGAUGAAGGAGCUACUAAGAAGAGACAGCACGACAAGAGACAGCGGAAAGGUCAAGGCAAAGAGAAAAGUUGUCUGCAUGCAACCAUCUUUCCUUCUGGGACUCAUGAGCCAGUCUGAGGAGAGCAUAACCUGGAACAUCUCUAGUCCUCCUUACUGGCAUAAACAUACAAGUAAGGAUCCGACUCUGGAUGUACUACAGCCAAUUCUUAAAGACCUGUUUUGAAAGCUGUUUUCCAUUUAGUCUGUUUAGUAAUAAGAAUUAAGAAAUGGCUCCUGGUGGUCCUGACCCAUGUCAGCAGCAUCAGUUUCUGCCAUGGGCAUUUGCACAUACACCUUCCUGUCUCUUGGCCGCAGCACAUCACAUUAGUGUGACACAGUGACGUGAGAUGCCUGCAGUAAAAGUGGGUGUGGAUUCCAGGACUGUCCUGAAUGACGUGGGACUGAUCAUCAUCCUAGUGUGAACAGGGUAGUGCCUCAGAAAUACAUGCAUAACAUAAGUGUUGGCUGUUUGUCACUCCAGUGUCCUGAAAGAGAUGGCUUCUAAAACAUCUUAAAAUAAUCCUUCAGAGAAGAUCUAGAAAAAAAAAUAAUAUAUAUAUAUUUAUAGUUGUGUUGAAUGAAAUGGCUGGAGUCCAUUUCUGUUUUGGGGCCCUCAUGGGAAAGUUAGAUUAAAACAGGGAAAAUAGUUUGCAUAAAAAUGAUUUUCACAGAGUAAUGAGUGAAAUGAUAAUAGGCAAGCUAUGGUACAUCGAUCACACUGGUGAAAUAACAUCUGAUGGAUUUUGCAAAGCUGACCUUUCCCCUUCCUAUUUUUCCUGGAGAUAUCUAUCUUUUUCCAUGUGUAAACUUUGCAGCUUCAUUAUGAUCUCCUAUCACCAGUGCCUCCUUAUUAUCGGGUAAAGAGCAAACCGAGUGAUACUGCCUUUUUCCUUCUUCAGUUAGUAUCAAAACAGUGCAACAACCCCAGUCACAAACUCAAGAGUCUUUUGACAGCAGCAAUUAAGCAACUUAAUUAAUGAGUGAAUAAAAAUGAUAAUAUUUACUGAAUGGGAGCA